UACAGAGGGGGCAAGCGUUGUUCGGAAUUACUGGGCGUAAAGGGCGCGUAGGCGGCCUGUUAAGUCGGACGUGAAAUCCCUCGGCUCAACCGGGGAACUGCGUCCGAUACUGGCGGGCUUGAAUUCGGGAGAGGGAUGUGGAAUUCCAGGUGUAGCGGUGAAAUGCGUAGAUAUCAAGUGGAACACCAGUGGCGAAGGCGAGUCCCUGGACAACUCCUGACACUGAGGCACGAAAGCUAGGGGAGCAAACAGG
rnacentral:rRNA from 1 species